AUCAAUCUGGUGAAAUUGGUAGACACGUUAUAGUUAAGUUAUAAUGCUUUAAUGCAUGAAGGUUCAAGUCCUUCGAUUGAUA
rnacentral:tRNA from 1 species